GGUUGAUCCUGCCAGUAGUCAUAUGCUUGUCUUAAAGACUAAGCCAUGCAUGUCUAAGUAUAAGUAUUAUACAGCGAAACUGCGAAUGGCUCAUUAAAACAGUUAUAGUUUAUUCGAUUAUUUUCUCCUACAUGGAUAACCGUAGUAAUUCUAGAGCUAAUACAUGCUGUCAAACCUGACUUUUGUGGAAGGGUUGUAUUUAUUAGAUAUAAAACCAAUACUCGCAAGAGGAUUGUGAUGAUUCAUAAUAACUGAGCGGAUCGCGGCCUUGCCGCGACGAAUCGUUCAAGUUU
rnacentral:rRNA from 1 species